rnacentral:rRNA from 1 species
UGCGGAAGGAUCAUUGUCGAAACCUGCCAAGCAGAACGACCCGUGAACACUUUCAAAAUUCAUGGGAUUGGAGUUUGAUGGUACCUUGUGUGCCUUGCUACAACAAUCCCAAGCGGGCGAUCGCUCAUUUCCGUGACGGUCCCUGCUACUUUAACGACCCCCGACGCGAAAAGCGUCAAGGAAUACAUACUCAAUGUGCUCAUCCCUUACCGGUCAUUCGGUUAUGUGGUUGGUGCCAUGUUCUAACAAUAAACGACUCUCGGCAACGGAUAUCUCGGCUCUCGCAUCGAUGAAGAACGUAGCGAAAUGCGAUACUUGGUGUGAAUUGCAGAAUCCCGUGAACCAUCGAGUUUUUGAACGCAAGUUGCGCCCGAAGCCUCGGCUAAGGGCACGUCUGCCUGGGCGUCACGCAUCGCGUCUCCCCCAAAGGCGGGGAAGGAGGAUGGCUUCCCGUGCCUCACCGGGCGCGGUUGGCUUAAAAUUGGAGCCCACGGUAAAUAAUUGCCGCGGCGAUAGGUGGUGAGCUUGGCUUUAGCCGUGUAAACAACCCGUUGCGGUGUAUGGCUUGUUGGACCCUUUUUGUCUCAAACCUUUGCGACCCCAGGUCAGGCGGGGCUA